GGGCGCUUGGUCUAGGGGUAUGAUUUUCGCUUCGCACUAACGAUUCGUCGUUGAUACGCAUGUGAAAGGUCGUGGGUUCAAUUCCCACAGCGUCCA